CGUAGGGGGCAAGCGUUGUCCGGAUUUACUGGGCGUAAAGAGCGUGUAGGCGGCCAAACAGGUCCGUUGUGAAAACUGGAGGCUUAACCUCCAGACGUCGACGGAAACCGUGUGGCUAGAGUCCGGAAGAGGAGAGUGGAAUUCCUGGUGUAGCGGUGAAAUGCGUAGAUAUCAGGAAGAACACCAAUGGCGAAGGCAGCUCUCUGGGACGGUACUGACGCUGAGACGCGAAAGCGUGGGGAGCGAACAGGAUUAGAUACCCUGGUAGUCCACGCCGUAAACGAUGGGUGCUAGGUGUGGGAGGUGUCGACUCCUUCCGUGCCGUAGCUAACGCAUUAAGCACCCCGCCUGGGGAGUACGGCCGCAAGGCU
rnacentral:rRNA from 1 species